GGUUGUCCACUUUAAAGUCGAACGCAUGCACAAGUACAUUCAAGGAAUCAUCAAAACCCAUGCAAUUAUUUUGGUUCAACAUAUUUUUGUUCAAACCCUUUUAUUUUUCGAGCGAAUUUUCAAACCUAAACAAAUAAUUUGACUAAUGAGUAGAUCUAUUUUUAACUUAAGAUAAAUUCCAAAUACUUGUCGCAUGUAUAAAUUUAUAUAUGCCAAAUGCUUAUUGUAAGCUUUAAU
rnacentral:lncRNA from 1 species